GGAGGUUUUCUCAGCUUCAAUUUCUUCCAUAGUUGCAAACCUCACAAAUCGGUCACUAAAUUAAAACAUGUAAACCAAACAUAAACAUAUUUUAUCAAAAUGAAUAGACAGUAUACAAAACUUAGGUGACAGAACAGCCAUUAAUCCGAUCAAAUUCAAAAAAAGGAAAUGAACUCGAAGCUAAGCUACACAUUCCUCACAUCUUCUGCGACAAUCGCUUCAGAACAAUUGGCUUCCCCCAAACUUUUGCAGCGCAGCUCCCCUUGCUAGCAGGGGAGCUACAGAAGCCGAGAGAAGCAGUGGUGGUGUAGGAAUGAUGCGGCGCCGCGUGGCACAAGCCUGCCGAUACACUACACAUGUUACACAUUGCGGUAAACAAAAAAGAACUCAAUUCUCGAGCGCCAGAGAAGUAGAAAGAGUGAAAUGAAAACCUGGAGUGGCGGCAGAGUUAAUGUGGUUGGCAUGAAGAACAGAGCGAAGGGAGAAGGGAGACGCCAUGAAAGCUUCAGAACGAAGAACGAGUAAGAAGUGUGAGCUGGGAAAGAAAUGGGUGUGGAUAAGAGCUAUUUUGUUCUUUGACGCUUCAGAGACUGAAAAUUAUGACAAGAUGAAGUGUCGUAUCAAGGCCCGACUUCUAACCCAAUAUGAUGGACGACGUGGGCCGUAGCCCGUAGUUGCAUUAUCGAUUGCGCUCUGUUUGGACCGUUGCAAUGCGUUUUCCCCCGGAACAUAGUAACACGGCCACGUUUG
rnacentral:lncRNA from 1 species